CCUAACCUGCUAUCAGUGCAUACCUGAGACCUCUGUUAAAUGCACUGAAACUAAAGUGGAGUGUCCUGUUGGUCAGUGUGGGACUAUGAAAACCACAUCUUAUAUGGGAAACAACACAUUGGCUGACAUGAUCAUGAAGAACUGCUCUCAAACCAAUCAAUGCGUGACUGCAUCCGCAAACUUUGGAAUUACAAAAAUAGUCAUUAACAAUCAGUGCUGCAACACUAACCUGUGCAAUACACAGACUGAACCCGAAUCCCCCAAGAUGAUCCCGAAUGGAAUGCACUGCCACACUUGCAGUGGAGAAGAUUGUGCUUCAGCUUUACCUUGUGUAGAUGCGCAAGAUCACUGUAUCAAGG